rnacentral:rRNA from 1 species
UACGUAGGAGACGAGCGUUGUCCGGAGUUACUGGGCGUAAAGGGUGCGCAGGUGGCGGCGCGCGUGGGGGGUGAAAUCGCCCGGCUUAACUGGGCGGGGGCCUUCCAGACGGCGUGGCUUGAGCAGCGGAGGGGGACGUGGAAUUCCGGGUGGAGCGGUGAAAUGCGUAGAGAUGUGGAGGAACACCGAUGGCGAAGGCAGCCUUCUGGGCCAACACUGACGCUCAUGCACGAAAGCGUGGGGAGCAAACAGG